GACGAACGCUGGCGGCGUGCUUAACGCAUGCAAGUCGAACGGAAAGGCCCCGCUUUUGUGGGGUGCUCGAGUGGCGAACGGGUGAGUAACACGUGAGUAACCUGCCCUUGACUUUGGGAUAACUUCAGGAAACUGGGGCUAAUACCGGAUAGGAGCUCCUGCUGCAUGGUGGGGGUUGGAAAGUUUCGGCGGUUGGGGAUGGACUCGCGGCUUAUCAGCUUGUUGGUGGGGUAGUGGCUUACCAAGGCUUUGACGGGUAGCCGGCCUGAGAGGGUGACCGGCCACAUUGGGACUGAGAUACGGCCCAGACUCCUACGGGAGGCAGCAGUGGGGAAUAUUGCACAAUGGGCGGAAGCCUGAUGCAGCAACGCCGCGUGCGGGAUGACGGCCUUCGGGUUGUAAACCGCCUUCGCCUGUGACGAAGCGUGAGUGACGGUAAUGGGUAAAGAAGCACCGGCUAACUACGUG
rnacentral:rRNA from 1 species